CUAUGGCCCCCAAAUCCCGCCCCCCUAUUUUUCACGCUUUAUUUUUGGCCAGUUCUAAUCUGAAACGACGCCGUUUCGUAUUAAUCCACCAACCACAGCCCUCCUUUCUUUUCUUUUUCCUUUUCUUUCGCAAAAUGCACGAUCGACCUCUCUGCUUCUCUUUUUUCCUUUUCUUUUAUUUCUCGUCGGCGCCUACAGUUUCUGACCAUCUCCUCCAAUCUUAUUGACGGAACGGCGUCGCUUUCUUCCGAGAGGUGCUUCAUCGACCUGCUUUGAUUUAUUUUCACUUUUCUUUUACUCUCAAUUUUCCUUUUCUUCUCCUGCUUCUUCGUCCACCUUCCGCUGCCCACAAUUCUUAAUUGCACCUCCUUCUACCUACAUCCGCCACCUACUUCUUCUCUUCGCAUACAAUUCUUUGCACCGUUCUCUGUCUUCCGAUUUUCUGUUAAUUACCAGUCCCAAAUCCGGCCUACAACUGUUCCCUUCCGCCGCCGCCGCCGCCGACGGCUUUUCUAGGCUCGCCGGAGCUGCCCCUUCGCAGGUUCAGGCGGCGUCUACCUACUUUAUUUCCUCCUCCGCCAAUAUCAGGAUUUAAUUACUCAGAAAUCGACAGGUUUUGUGCCUCAUAUCUCUUUCAAAAAUUAGGGAAUAAUUUUUUUGGAUUUUCCGAGUUUGUUGUUUCCGGCAAAAAUAUAGGCAUGGGGGGUUCUAAGUGAGCCAGGCUUCGUUCCAUAUUUCGGACUUCGAUCGACCGAGAGAUUAGCUCAGUUGCUAGCUGAUAAUAGCACAAGAGAUUAUGAUUUUUUUUACGAAGAGUACUUCCUCGCAUGAUGGCAAGAGUGUUGACCGGGAACAAGAACGUAAGUUCAACGAGCUUAAAGCUUCUGACACAGUGAAAGCACCUGCACGAAUCAUUGGUUCUCAGGCGACUAAGAAAAAGGGAGCUACAUGUGUUCUGAUUUAAGGAAUUGGAUAAGAACAGACUUGGGAGGUAAUUAGGGUGGCAGAACUUUUGGAACAGCAGGAUAUAUUAUUCAAAUGAGAAAAAUGCUGUAAUCCGUCAAAGGCUCAUAUUCUUCGAUUGAUUGAAAAAUGCUGUAAUCGUACAAGCAUAUGUAAGUUUAAUAUUCCGAUGCAUGUGAAAAAUUAGUAGACAAACAAAUACAUUGUUGAGUUACGGGCUUGAUUCUGCCAACAUAUUAUGUAUGAUCUUUUUUGGUAUUAUAUAAGUGCAAUCAUAUCUGA